AUACCCUGAGUAGUUAGAGUGUCCACGUCGACAGUAAUAAUCAACCAAUAGGAGAAGAGCUUUUCGCCACGUCAGAUGCUCACUUAUGUCAUUUGGGCUUCGCGUUCACAGGCCCUAAAUCGUUCGGAGUAAACAGCCCGUGAAGCCCACCUCGCGUGAAGUUCUCUUUCCAUUUCCGCGAGGAACUAACCCUAAUUUUGCUUAAUCAAUCCUCGAUCCCCUUUCUCUUCCUCUUCUUCGUUUCGUCGAUCUCCUUUCUCUUCGUCUUCUUAGUUUCCUACGUUUCACGGAUCUUUCAUCGCAAACAAUCAAUUCUCUCCCCACUCCUCUAGACUUUUAAUCUCAUUAAUGGAUGAUUUAUCGCUUUCUUCCUCUGAGAUUCUAUAUACAUCUCUUAAUCGAUGUUUUAUUUGCAUCAAAAAAAUUUCUAGCCUUUCAACCGCUCAUUGCGAUGAAGUUAUCCGGUGUUUCCGACACAGUGAAAACGAACGGCGAAGCGGUGAUCCCCUCCAGUUCGGUCAACCCCGUCGCCCAACCCGGUGUAUCUUCCGGCGAUGUCAAUCCGAUCCCCUCCGGUCUGGUCAAACCCGUCGCUCAAACCGAUGUCUCUUCCGGCGAUGCCAUUGCGAUGAAGUCAAAAGACGUAACGGCAGAAGCGAAGAAUUCGAUCAAACCAAACGGCAAAACUGGUGCCUCCUCCGGUCUCAAACUCGGUGUUAGAGGCAGAGCCUCUGUCUCAUCCGUCGAUAAAGGCAAAGCUAUCGUCUCCGAGAACGUGGGAAAGGUUAUUACCUUCAAAGACAUCACUUUCGGGCCCCAUGAAGACGAGGUGCGGUUCCGGUUGAUCCACUUUUGGGAGGCUUGGAAUGUUCAGACGAAGGUGCUUAUCGGCAUCGAAAUGCUUCUCAUCGACGAAGAGGAGAGUGUUAUCCAGGGCUUCAUCCCCUAUGGAAGGAUUGACACAUAUUUGCGUCACAUGAAAACUGGUGCUACAUACCGACUCAACAAGUUUUUCGGAUCAAAGAGCAAGACUAUCUACCGGGUAGCUGAGUCAAGUGUCACUAUUUGCUUCUCAAGUAACUAUGUCCUCUCUGGACUCGAGGACAGUUCGAUCAGCUUUCCUGUAGAUCGGUUCCGGAUUCAUGGACACAAAGAAUUUGAAGCUGGCUCCGACUUGAGAGGUGAUCUUUAUGAUUAUAUUGGCCACAUCAAACUUGUGAAUGGGAAGGUCCCCGGUGACGGUCUUCUGCUUGAUGAGUCAGAGAUAGCAAAAUCUCGCCGAGUUGAGCUUCACGUUCAAACACAUGAGUAAGUUAUUCUAUAUCUUCCUUCAAAUUCACAUAUGGUUUUAUUUACCACAUGAGUUUGUGUUGUUACAGCGAUCCUGUGCUGAAGCUGUACCUCUGGGACAAGGUUGCGUUUGAGUUCUGUGAAAAGUUUAAAGCAUCUGGUGGCACUGCACGCGUUAUCUUGGUCACCACCUUAAACCCGAAAUGGUUUGGAGGCGUCCUAUCUAUAUCUUCUAUGGCGUCUUCACGGGUAUUUCUGGAUGGUGAUGUCGAAGAAACGCUGUUGUACCUCAGCUGGUAAUGUUUAAGUUUCAUAUGUUGGAAUGCAACUUAUAUUACUCCGCCAUUGAACGUCUGGUUUACAUUCUUUCUAGGUUGGACUCGAACCUA